UACGUAGGGGGCAAGCGUUGUCCGGAGUUACUGGGCGUAAAGCGCACGCAGGCGGUCUUUUAAGUUUGGAGUGACAGUUGGUGGCUUAACUGCCAAAGUGCUUCGAAAACUGAAAGACUUGAGGGCUUCAGAGGGACACGGAAUUCCGGGUGUAGUGGUGAAAUGCGUAGAGAUCCGGAGGAACACCAGUGGCGAAGGCGGCUCGCUGGGCUCUACCUGACGCUGAGGCGCGAAAGCGUGGGGAGCGAACCGG
rnacentral:rRNA from 1 species